UGGUGUAAGACCCAACCAUGUCCAUAUAAGUCUCAGUUUGGCAGAGAGACAAAUACUGAGAGACAGAUACUGAGAGACAAGAAUUAAAAUAAGUCUCAAUAUUAUGUUUGGUAUAAAAUAUCAUUCAAAAUAAAACACAGAGACUAAAAUAAAUGAAAUGACCAAAUUAUCCCUACUAAUUAAAAGAAAAAAAACAAAAAUAAAACCCAAAUCCAAUCCUUCAGACAACCAUUUCCCCUUCCUCCUUUCUCAAUCCCUAAUCUCCCGUCAUUUCACCCAAUUUCGCCGCGUCAAUCUCUUGCUUGGCGUCGAGUUCGCCGUCGACGAGGAAGCCUUGCCACCGUUUCAUCAAUUCCUUCGCUUUUUACGGUUCUCUCCAUCUGUCUCUCUCUUUCUCUCUUGCUCUCUCUCACUUUCUUCUGUUAGUUGUAGGGGCAAUUUGGCUGCUAUUCAUGCUGGAAACAGGGGCUAUCCUCCGAAUAAGGUUGUCUGUACUGAAGGACCCGACAGAGUCAGAGAAUUAAUUGCCAUAGGCGCUUCAUUUGAUCAUAGAGAAGAUGGUAACUUGCAUCUAGUGAGGGAAGGGGGUCAUUCACAUCGUCGAAUUGUUCAUGCUGCUGAUAUGGCUGGAAAAGAAAUUGAAAGGGCUCUGCUAAAGUCAGUUGUUAAUCCUAAUAUUUUUGUGUUUGAACACCAUUUGGCUAUAAAUCUUCUCACUUGUCAGGUACAUUUUGAAUGUCUCAGUGCGUUCUCUAACUAAAAAUAUAAAAUAUGCCACUGGUGUUGUAGAAUGGAUCUGAUAUCACUUGUGUUGGUAUUGACACUCUGAAUACUGAAACAUUAGAGUUUUUAGGUGGUAAGAUUCCUUUCAAAUGUGACUUUGCUUGCAUUAGGUGGAGCUGGACAUAUUUAUCCCAAAACUACAAAUCCUCUGGUGGCUACCGGAGAUGGAAUUGCCAUGGCACACCGAGUUCAAGCUGUGAUUUCAAACAUGGAGUAAGUAGAUGAAGGCAAAAGGAUACAUAACUUAUGCAUCACAAAAUCUCUUGAAGGCAAAAGGAACUACAUAUUAAGUUAUAGUGUUGGGUUUUAAAUUGCAGCAUGAGUAUUUAUGUGUAAUUUGUUUGUAUUUGUAAACAUGUUGUAAAAGCAUGUAUAUGAAUGAAUUAGAUUGACGUUGACAUUAAAUUCUUGAAAUUAGAUUGGCUGUUUUGGGAAA